rnacentral:pre_miRNA from 12 species
GAAGCAAUGGAAGGUGCAUCUAGGACUGUCUAACCUGAGAAUGGUGAAUCUCAGGGUCAAUCUCAGGUUUGUCAGCCCAUGAGGUGCCUUCUCUAGACCU